UAGGGAAUCUUCCGCAAUGGACGCAAGUCUGACGGAGCAACGCCGCGUGAGUGAAGAAGGAUUUCGGUUCGUAAAACUCUGUUGUUAGAGAAGAACAGCGCAUAGAGUAACUGUUAUGCGUGUGACGGUAUCUAACCAGAAAGCCACGGCUAACUACGUGCCAGCAGCCGCGGUAAUACGUAGGUGGCAAGCGUUGUCCGGAUUUAUUGGGCGUAAAGCGAGCUCAGGCGGUCAAUUAAGUCUGAUGUGAAAGCCCCCGGCUCAACCGGGGAGGGUCAUUGGAAACUGGUUGACUUGAGUGCAGAAGAGGAGAGUGGAAUUCCAUGUGUAGCGGUGAAAUGCGUAGAUAUAUGGAGGAACACCAGUGGCGAAGGCGACUCUCUGGUCUGUAACUGACGAUGAGGCUCGAAAGCGUGGGUAGCAAACAGG
rnacentral:rRNA from 1 species